rnacentral:tRNA from 15 species
GCGUGAUCCGCGCGGGUCGCGCGCGCGGUUUUCAAAUUUUCAGUGAGGGGU